rnacentral:rRNA from 1 species
UACGGGGGGGGGCAAGCGUUGUUCGGAAUUACUGGGCGUAAAGGGCUCGUAGGCGGCCAACUAAGUCAGACGUGAAAUCCCUCGGCUUAACCGGGGAACUGCGUCUGAUACUGGAUGGCUCGAGUUUGGGAGAGGGAUGCGGAAUUCCAGGUGUAGCGGUGAAAUGCGUAGAUAUCUGGAGGAACACCGGUGGCGAAGGCGGGUCUCUGGGCCGAUACUGACGCUGAGGAGCGAAAGCGUGGGGAGCGAACAGG